UGGGGAAUUUUGGACAAUGGGGGCAACCCUGAUCCAGCCAUUCCGCGUGAGUGAAGAAGGCCUUCGGGUUGUAAAGCUCUUUCAGCAGGAACGAAACGGUCGGCUUUAAUAAAGUCGGCUAAUGACGGUACCUGCAGAAGAAGCACCGGCUAACUACGUGCCAGCAGCCGCGGUAAUACGUAGGGUGCGAGCGUUAAUCGGAAUUACUGGGCGUAAAGCGUGCGCAGGCGGCGACAUAAGACAGAUGUGAAAUCCCCGGGCUCAACCUGGGAACUGCGUUUGUGACUGUGUUGCUAGAGUGUAGCAGAGGGGGUGGAAUUCCACGUGUAGCAGUGAAAUGCGUAGAGAUGUGGAGGAACACCGAUGGCGAAGGCAGCCCCCUGGGUUAACACUGACGCUCAUGCACGAAAGCGUGGGGAGCAAACAGGAUUAGAUACCCUUGUAGUCCCUGAGCGGGCUGGCAAGGCGCAU
rnacentral:rRNA from 1 species